CAGUAGGGAAUCUUCCACAAUGGGCGAAAGCCUGAUGGAGCAACGCCGCGUGUGUGAUGAAGGGUUUCGGCUCGUAAAACACUGUUGUAAGAGAAGAAUGACAUUGAGAGUAACUGUUCAAUGUGUGACGGUAUCUUACCAGAAAGGAACGGCUAAAUACGUGCUAG
rnacentral:rRNA from 1 species